rnacentral:rRNA from 1 species
UACAGAGGUCCCAAGCGUUGUUCGGAUUCACUGGGCGUAAAGGGUGCGUAGGUGGUGAGGUAAGUCCGAUGUGAAAGCUCCGAGCUCAACUCGGAAAUUGCAUUAGAAACUACCUUGCUCGAGGGUUGGAGGGGGGACUGGAAUUCUCGGUGUAGCAGUGAAAUGCGUAGAUAUCGAGAGGGACACCAGUGGCGAAGGCGAGUCCCUGGACAACUCCUGACACUGAGGCACGAAAGCUAGGGGAGCAAACAGG